UAUUUUAUGAAUGUUUAAUAAUCUGUGCAUUGAGUAAAUUUAUGACAAUCGCAUGUUAAUUGCCUGCCUGGCGCCGAUAUGUCAGUCAUCCAGUGGAAGG
rnacentral:sRNA from 1 species